CCUAAGAAAGGGUGUCCUGCAUCUAAGCAAAGGAUGAGCAAGUGGGUGGUCGAGGCCAUCUCGCUUGCUUACGGUUCGGCCCAUCAGCCUUCACCUUUGGCUGUAAGGGCUCAUUCCACCAGGAGUAUGGCGGCCUCUACAGCUCUUCUUUCAGGAGUUUCUCUUCAGGACGUUUGUGAUGCGGCAGGCUGGUCCUCACCGCACACUUUCGUCAGAUUUUAUUCCCUUUUAUUCCCUGGAGCUCCACUCCAGGGGCUCAGGUUCUCUCGUCGGUUUGUGUCUCCUGAUGACACACGACGGGGAUUUGGUCGUAUGGGGAUGUGGGUAUUGCGUUCCCACUGCGAUUACACGCAGCGGUAGUCCCUGAAGGGGAACGUCCUGGGUUACGUAUGUAACCCUAGUUCCCCGAAGGGACGGACGCUGCGUGUCCUGCCAUACUCUCGGCAUCCCCUUGGGUCGCUGCUUCAGUAACUUUUAAGCUGGCGUGUUGUGUGCUCAGGGGAUAUUUAUAGCUUCCUGGUCGAUGACGUCACUCGCCGUACGCUCUUUCUCUCCAUUGACUGAUUUCAUUCAUGCUUCAGACGCGUCACGCUGAGGGCGUUCCCACUGCGAUUACACGCAGCGUCCGUCCCUUCGGGGAACUAGGGUUACAUACGUAACCCAGGACGUUUUCGCACUUUGAGUUAAGUUAUUUUACCUUAAUGUUACGGUUUUUGUUUGGCAGUCGCAGCUGCCAGUCAUUUGACCGUUUUUUUUACAUAAUUUGAAUGUAAUUUAAAAAAACAGUAAAAUACUCUAGAAUAAUUACAGUAUUUCUUCCGUAAAAAAAGGUGAUAAAAAUGUAAUUUGUAAUUAUGAGCAUAAUACUUCAAUUUAUAGUUGGACUGUUAAUUUACAGAUAUCUUUGUUUUUACAGAGUUUUGCACAUAAUUUGAAAAAAACAGAAAAAGUACUGUAAAAAUGUAAAGUUAUUUCCCGUAAAAUUAGGAUCUUUUUUUUUACAGUGUAGCCUCAUGUGGCCAGAUAAGGCAAUCAGUACCUCAAAGAUGAAGAAAUUGAUACAAUUUAAUUGCCCUCACGAUUACCUGACCUAACCCCGAUGGAACACCUAUGGGACAUUGUGUUUUGGUCUAUCAGACGCCGCCAUUGCUCCUCACUGAUGCCCUUGGACAGAUCUGGGGGGGCAUUUCACAAAAUACCAUGCGUCGUCUCAUUAGGAGCAUGCCCCGAUGUUGUCAAGCAUACAUACAAGCCCGUGGGCGCUGAACAAUAUAUUGAGUAGCAUUUUCAGUUGCAGAAUUUGAAUUUUGGCAAAAUGGACUACCCUGUCACAUCAUUUUUUCACUUGGAUUUUCGGGUUGUCUAUAAAAUGAACCCCUCUGUAGACUCAAACUUUUAUUUCUAUCAAAAUAUGUGGCAUCUUUUCGUUCCUAAGACAUUAAACUGUCCAAAUCAGUGUAGAUAUUGAACUUUUUUUUUUUUCACAUUGAGAUCUGGUGUGUUUUCAGUGUUCCAAUGGGCCAUUGUACUGCCUGAAUAUCAACUAUCUUGGCUUGAGACUAAUAGAUUAUUUUGGGGAAAAGGAGAAAGAGUUUUAGCCAGAGAUUUUGCAGGAGUAGAAUAUUAAAUAGUGAUCUUGAGGGUUGAAAGGGCAAGGCUCUGAGGUGUUUUCCUUUCCUGAGCUCUACAGCCAAAGAAGAAGAAAAGGGGACCAACUGUUUUCUACUAGCUUGUCAGUGUGUGGCUACUGACCAGUCCAAAACCACACAACGAAUUUUCAUCGACUGUGUUAAUGCAAAAUGGAAUCAGGAACAUUUAUUGCCAAAGUAUGUUAGACAGACAAUACAUUUGACAUGGCAGUUGGUACCUACCAUCAGACCAUAAGACAACAAGACAAUGGACAACAAGACAAAUAAUACAGGGAAUAUGAUAUGUUGGAUUUAUAUAAAGAAGAUGAAAACUAAAAAGAUAAAGAUAAUAUUAAAAAGAUCAUAUUAAAAAUACAGUGCACAAGUGAACAGAUAACCUUACUCUAUACAACUGUAUUGUGAGUAUAUGUGAAAGUGAUCCAAUGUAUUUACAUACAUACGAGUGUAAAGGGAUGUGCAGGGAAGUGACCAGUGACCCGGGCUCUGUUGAACCCGACUGCCGACAGGAAGAAACUUUUUUUUUGUCCGGGGUGAGAAGGGUGGGCUACAAUGUUUCUAGUUUGCCUUAGGGUCCUAGAAGUGAAGUCCUCGAGGGACGCCCGAUUGCAUCCAAUCACCCGUCUGCAGAGCAGUUGACCCUUUCUGCACCCUGCCCUUGGUUGUGGCUGCAGAGUGCCAGACGGUGAUGUAGGAGCAGAGAAGUGCACCAUCAUUGUAUUUGGCAGGUUGAAUUUCUUCAGCUGCCUCAGGAAGAAUAGCCUCUGCUGAGACAAUAAAUGCUUGGCUUCAGCGUAUGGUGUUCUCCGUGUACGGCCAGAGAAGGUCUUCUUGUAAAUAAAUGAUUCCUUGUCGGCAGCAUUGAUAGCGCUCUACUGGAAGUCAUGAUGUCAUAACGGAUCAUUAUGAUCUCGGAGAACUCUCUACCUAUAAAACGUUCAUCUAACUGAUAUCGCUACUUCGCUCCCUAUCAAUGAGGAAGACAUGUGCCCUUUUUUUCCAGGAGAGUGGGGAGAUUAUCCAGCUGGCUUAAAUGAGCCUGCGCCAGAGCAGGUUCAAGUUUUUGGAUGUGUUGCUAUGCAGAUUUUUCUAAACUUGCUUCGGGAAUCGGAAAGCCUGAUCUAUGUUAUGUUAUCUUGAAAAUGAUCUGGCCAGGAACAAGGAACAGAAGCAGGCUGGUACUUUGCAUGUCACCAGGGAGGUGUUGAAGAUGUCUGUGAACACCGGAGACUCCGGGUCAGCACAAUGCUUCAGGGUGUGGGGGGAGACAGAGUCCGGUCCGGCUGCUUUGCAGGGGUUUUGUUUUUUAAAGAGCUGUUGACAUCCCUCUCCAGAAUAGAGAAGGUCUAUUCUAGGGAGGGGUGUGGAGGAGGGAAGGGUGAUACAUGAGGCCCUGAUGGGUUGGGAGAGGGGAAAAUGGGGGGCUGGUUGCUGGAGUGAGGAUGGAGUCAGGACUGUUCAUUGUCUAUCAAAUCUACUGUAGAACCUAUUCAGAUUGUGGAGGGGGAGGUCAUACAUCAAGUGGGGGGUUUUAGGCUUGUGAUUUGUGAUCUGUCGGAGGCCUCUCUUUGUACCCACUCCUAAAUGCCUGAUCCUUCUGCAGUCGUAGCUUCCUCUGUUCCUCUGUAAACCCGGGUUUGUCGUUGUUAUACCAACAUGCACCCUGGUGCAGGUAGGCAGCUGUCCUCACAGAAGCCAAUAUAUGAAGUCAAAGCCUCUGUGAACUCAUCCAGACUGUUGGUAGCAGUCCUGAAAACAUGCCGAUGCGAUUGUGCAACAAUAUUGCAGAAUAAAAACCUUCAAAAAGCAACUUUUUAGAAUUCCAGCACUUAAUUAUAAGUGCAAUGAAAUUCCUCUUAAAUGUGUAUCAAAAAACACCUCUUUGUGCCUAAGGCAUUUUGAGAAUGUUCUUUUAGUUCACGUACAAAAUCAUGACAAAAUUGAGUUACAGUUGACUGAAUGUCUUUUUUUUACAGCAUCAUGUGUCAAUCAGCCCAAAACAGCACAAAGGAGUCACGCUAAUCAAUUCUGCGACACGCUGCUGCCAUCUCCAAUCUACCCCAUGGUGGUGUGAAGAGGAAAAAUGAAGCCAAGAGGUGUUGGUUAAUCUAUUAAGUCUACAACACUACCAGGAGCUUCUAGUCACUCUAAUCUAUCAUAGCCACAUAGACCCAUCUCUGAGGUUAAUGCUACCGUCUCCUUGACUUUAUAUCUCCUUUGUCUAGACAGAGAGAGCGGUUCUCGAAAACUGGCAGGUGUUCAGUGAGGACAGCUAUAAUAAGUGUUAUUUCUCAUGUGGAUAUCCAUGAUUCAAUACUGUUCCACACAUCCCUCUUCAAUACUCACUAAAUGUUUUUUCAUGUUUAACAUAGCCGAUUCAUUUUUCAAAAUGUGUUUUUCACAACAAUUUUUUCAAAUUGACUGCUACAGCUCGUGUGACCAUGACAACCACAAAAAAACACAGGGGUGCUAAUUUUCCAGGUAUCUGUAUUCCUUGACUUAUAAACACCUCUUUAAUUUUAGAAAAUAAACAGGUUAAGGUAGCAAAACUCUCUAGUAUUCAUGCUAUAUUGCUCAUCAUUUAAUUUAAUUUUAAUCAAUCCCCACAAUUUAGGCCUUGUAAUGAGUGGAUGGAAGUGCCCAUAUAGUAUGACAUAUAUGUCAAAAGGCACGAUCAGAGUUCCCUGCCCUCUCCAGCCACCACAUUCAAUGUCACAUGAUGGAUGAUGAGGUUCAAACUUGUGAGGCGUGUGUAGUGAUCCAUGGCAGCUACCCGCUAAUGUAAGUCAUUACCUUCCUUAUUUUGUGCUAUUGAUCUAAAUAUUUUUCUAAAUGUCACUCUGACAUCCGUUUAACCAAAGCCCUUUCUAUUGCAAGUUUGAUUUGAUUGUUCUACAUUAUAUAUUCAAUGAACACACAUCGCACAUUGCCAAUUGCAAAAUGUACACUCAAACCUCAUGGGAAGUUUCUUUGUUGUCUUAGUUACUCGCUUCUUCUUCCUUCGCAUCCUCGUUAGCGUUCCCGCUCCUCUCACUCUUUUCCUUUCGACUUUUGUGCUCCUCUGCACUCCCACUCCCAUCUUCCUUUCUUUCUCUCUUCUGUGUGGUAUUUGUGGAGCUCCGCUUGCCGGAACUAAAACUUAUCAGGCAACUACGGCUGUGUGUUUGUAUGUGUGUAUGGAGUUCUGUGUUUGUUCUCAGAGGGGUGUCUUUAGUUUAAAAUAAUAUAUUCCUACAAGUCUCAAUUGCACCCACAGCAGGUUCAAACACUCAAACAUUCUCUGCUCUGUCAAAUAAAGUCAGUGUCCCGUUUCUAAGGCUGUGCAUUACUGCUCCGUGUACUUUGUGUUCAGGUUUUGUUUAUGCCAGCAGCGCUUUUCACUGUAGAGUAGACGUGUGUGUGUGUGUGUGUGUGUGUGUGUGUGUGUGUGUGUGUGUGUGUGUGUGUGCAGGCAUGCGUCCCUUUAUGUUUUCAUCUGUUUGUGUGCUUCUGUGAACCAUCAGAGCAUGUGACUCAGUGGACUCCAUGAUGUCUGCAUAAGGUGCGUGUAUCAUUGUGUUAAGUUUGAGACGUACUUAACCCUUACCAAAACAAUAUCUAUAAUCUACAGACAAACACGCAAGUUCAACAACUUCCCUUUUCUACAAAGCGUUUUAGAUUAUUUUCAACUCUUUAAAACAUUUGUUACCGUUUUGGAUCACUCACCAAUAUCAUACGUCUUAUUUUCAGCCACAGCAAGCAUUAGGCAGGGAAAAUGAUCAGUAACACUACAUGCCCAGCAACACACACAGUUGGCUACUAUCUGUCAAACUGUGUAGCAGUUAGCGGCUAAAUAGUCAUUUCCAUCAGUAGGUGGUAAGGAGCAAAAGGAGUGUGAGUUUGGAUGUGUAACUAAGCAACUGAACGAUAACUAGAAUGUUAUGUCAUCUUUAAAGGUUAAAUCCUCCCGUACAAAAGACAGUCUCCAGCUGUUAGAGUUGACAGCAACAUAUUUUAUUAAAAAAACUACCAAACGAUUGUCACUGCCGAGUGCCCUCUUCCACAUGACUCGUCAUAGUGUAAAGCAGCCAGUGAGGAUUAAUCAGUUUGAGGCUGGAUUCGAACAGUCCAAAACAUUACCUCCUAACCGCUUUUCCUUCUCUGUGGAAAACGUCACAGCGUCAAGGAAAGAUGGUUAGCGGAAGUCAUGAGGAGUUAGGAAAAGACAACUGCUGUGUUCAGGGAAUCCGACUCCCCUCUCACUAAACUACGUAGUUAUGAGGCGACCGGAGACGCAUCUUAGUGACGUCAGUCUGCAGCGGAAAAACUACAAUUUCUCAGACUACAAAGAAGGGCAUCUUUGAUUCCUUGGUCCAAGUGUUGUUACUGUGCUGUGUCAUGCAGACGACAUAAACAACCACCCAGGUAGCCAAAAUUACCUGGCCCAGAUCCGGAUUACACCUGGUUGCAAACUCUGAUGAGUCUAUAAAAGACUAAAAACAAUACUUAUUUUACUUUACUAUAUUAAGCCAGUCACGAUCACAAUUCUGGCCUUUCACAAUAAGAUCCCGCUUCAACACCACUAAAUAUCGCAAUAAAAGAGAAAUCAACACUUGCGUUCACAUGAUCUCAUCGGGGCAAAAAAUAUAAAUAAAGCACAUUUGCAGAAUUUCCUUUAGGCACCAAGAUAACGCACGUCUGCGUUUAAAUUCUGCGAUUCGGGGUUUUGUUGAGACAGUGUGGGAGACCGUAUGCGAGACAGUGUGAGACAGUCUGCGGGACAGUGUGUGAGACUGCAGCGUGUGGUGUUCACGUAACGUUUCGGCUCGAGAAAAUCUUGUCCUGUCUUCAGCAUCGAUGACGUCAUGGCGAUGUCAUAACGGAUCUUUGUCUCGGAGAAGUCUCUCCCUAUAAAACGUUAAUCUAACUGAUAUCGCUCCUUCCUCAAUGAAGAAGAGAGCUGCCCUGCAAACUAAUCCAGCAGCUCAAAUGAACCUGCGCAGGGUCAAGUUUUUCAAUGUGUUGCUAUGGUGAUUUAGCCAAACCUGCUUCGGGGAACUGAAAAUCCUGAUUGUCAUCUUAUCCUGAAAACUAUCCGGCUAACUCAGUUAACCACAUACGAGGAACAGGGCCCGGGUCUGUGUGUGUAUUUUGGUUAAUAAGUGUUUUGCAUUUGAGUCCUACUUCUGCCACCCUGCCAUGACACAAUGGUUCCUAUGCUAAACAAGCCAAGUAAGGAAGCACUGAAGCUCCUUUCCUUAGCACUUAGAGCUUCUUAACAGCUCUUAUCAUGGUGGCCACUUGCACUACUUCCAGGUCAUUUCACUCAGUUAGGAACCCUCGUAAGAGUAUUUGUACCCAGCCUGGAUUUGUGUCUCACCCUUAUUCCAUCCACGCGCUGCUUAAAAGGUGCGACGGAUUAUAGCAACAGGUUACAGCCGUGCAAUGUUCCCCCUUAAGCACUCCCACAGAUCCCCUCCCCUGCAGCGGAGCAGAGGCCAUUCUGUUUGUUUUUGAUUUUAAAACAUUCUUGCUAUUUGAAAAAGAGAAAACUGACAUGGACAACUGUAGACAGCAGUAUUCAGUCACUGGUUAUGGUAGGUAAAGAGACAUGGAUUAUCAAUAACGGUAGUACUUUAUAGACUCAUGCCAGCCUCUAUAAAGGGCAGGGCAUAUCUUGUUCUCCAUCAUGCAUGAAGCUAAAUGGAGCGAUGCAGAUAUCUAGAUCCAGAAUGGGACAAAAAGAUGAAUGUCUCAGAUUCUUUUUGUUUGGGUGCUGUGGUGAAUUUGUUUAGGAUUUUCUGCAGAAAGUAAGAGUCAAUCGCAAAUCAGGUUUCAAAACAAAUUACUUUAACAUUGUAAGAUUACAAAUUCUUAGUCUUCUUCUUAAUCAAUGGAAGCAGGAAAAAGAUGAAGAAAAAUACCAUCAAGGAUACAAGUUCAACAUAGGACAUCAGACAAACAUAAACUGGGAAGGUCGAAGUGAUUGGACACAGGAGGGAACAACGAGGGACGAGGCAGAAAAUCACAAGGGAGGAAAAGCACCGGGGGAGGAAGUGAAGCUAACCCUGGGGCAUGAUAGGAAAAAAAAAUACAAAAUAAAAAUAACAUCCCAAACAACAUGACAGAAUGUGCAUCUGCCAAUUUCGGUUUUUGUGUCUGUUUGUUUCUCCUGUUACUUGCCAGUCCAUCUUCAGCAGUGUAUGCUAAAACCUCCCUUUUUCCAAACAGCGCAUCAAACAUCAUUUUCAAGAAACCCAGCUUUCCGCUAGUUGGAGCUAUGUAACCCUGCAGGUAAACAUGCAGAGAUAGGAAAACAUGCCUGCUGGGCCUACAUUAUUCUUCACUCCCUGAUAGACUUCUAUUUGCAUCACACAUUUUUCAGUUGUUAAUGAACAACAUUUACAGAUUGUACAUAACAAUCUCUCAUAUAUACUGUACAAUAACUAUUGAGGGGUUAUUAUUUGGGGGAGAAAUCCCCAGAGAAGAACUAUAAAAUGACCAUUAAUAAGAUGAACCAUCCCGUUGGAUAGGCGAAAGUAUAUAUACAUAAUUUUAACCUAACCUUAAGUAUUUAGAACAAGUGAUUUGAGGGCCUUGGUCAAUUGUAAGCAUUAUAUUGUGCAGUCCAUCAAGUUGACAGUUUGAACUGAUGGCACUACGUCUUUUUUUUCUUUCUUUAAGAUAUGUUGACAGUUUGAACGGAUUGUGGCAUAACAUGAUGGUUCGUGGAAUGUCCACAAACGGAAUCAUCCUGUGGGAAGCAUAAAUUCACUCAAAUGUCAGUGAUCUGCUGAUUUAAAUAGUAUUUUCAGGUACAAAUGAAUUCUAUCCCUUGAUCCUUGAGAAGAGUCUAGGUGACCACUUUUGAAAGAAGCCAUUUAACCUCCAGGAAACAUGAAUGUUACCUUGAACCACGACAAAAAACUUAAUCUAGGUCCAGCCAUUAAUUUUGACACCUUUCCCCUAAUAGUCCAGCCAUUCAUUUUGACAAUGCCUUAGUUAAGACUAAGCCUAUGUGUAGAUUUUGACCUAAUCAUCUUUUGAUUCUUGAUUAUCCAUACCAAAAUUCAUGACAUAAGUUUUGACUCAUGAGUUUUAUGUUGCAACCGCAGGAAUGAACCUCAUAGGUUUGUUUGUUACCAGGCAAAGCUUAUACGUUAUAGAAACGGCUGUGACAUAUAUCUGUGGGUCAAGCUCUUUUCUUCAGGCAACAUAUUACAGACACAGCAGGAAAAAAACAAACACAUUCAGCUGCACAAAUAUAGUCCACAAGUUGAGUCAAUGGACCACUUACUCGCAAAGCUUGUCUAAUGCAUGUCAACAAUUAAGUUUUACAUAGCAGAAAAUAGACUAACUCUUGUUGUGAAAUGUAAUUACUGGGUGGAAAUGUAGAAAAAAGGGCAAUGAUGUGGGAAUAAUAAUGACACUGCAUAAAAAUAAUUUGUACAUAAUUGAUUGCCCUUGUUCUGUAGUGAGUGUAAUUCCUCAUAUCCCCCUCUUCUGUUGAAUAUGGAACUGCUAUGUCAUAAUAACAAUAAUGCACCAACUCAACUGAGCUGACAUGAGUUAUCUUUGGCUCAAUUGAGAGACAAACAUGAAGCUGGGUAGCAACAGUGGAUAUACUAUGAAUAUAUCACUGAAGCAAAUAAAAUAUCUGACUCUCCAAUAUGGUGAUAAAUGCCACAUCCUGGGGGACAAUGACUGACUGAGAAACUCGCACACAAACGCUCAGUAACCUAUCUGGCCAUUUAUUUCAAUAUGGUAUUAAUGGAACCCCUUUAUUGUUCCGUCUCAACUGCAUUGAAACUGAAAAUAAUUACAAUACAGCGAAUGAACCAAACUAAGAUAUUGCUUGCUUUCAAGAGAGACCUUGAGAAUGACUUUGUUGUUUUCUCCCAGAGGGAAAGUGGAAUGAUGUGUUAUUAUAUUUAAAAAAAGAAACUAACCUUCACCAUUUGUGGAAGCUCUAUACAGAAAGGAAAACAUAGUAAAAGAAAUGCAUGCAGGCUCACUGUGAAGUGUAUCAUAGUUGUUACAAAUGAAAGUCAAUGGAAAGUGGCAAGUCGAUUCUCACUUCAGAAGUUUUUUGUGUCCUUGAAAGUUUUAUAUUUUUCAGAAAUGUGUACUUCUCACAUCUCACUGCGCUGAUUUUGGGGCCUUCUUAAUCCAUGAAGAUUUGGGUUGGAAAAGAUUGUAUUGUUCAUAUCCGCUGGGAUUGGUAGGGAUCUUUAUUCCCAUACGAUUUCUACAUUUUCCAAUUAAGUGUUGAACAGAAAGAAAAACACAAAGCAAAAGUCGAUACAACCAAUGGCCAUGUAAUAGGAAGUGGUAAAUAGUUUAAUGAAUAAAUGUUGAUUUUAUCAGUUUGGCUUUAGGUUGAUCAUCUGACUGUUAAAAUCAUGAUAAAUAACAGCUCUAAUCUUAAGUCUCCCGCGUGUCACAUAAGCAAGCAUGCACAUGGUGGUUCAAACACAGGACCAUGUCAAUGUAGUUGACAGUAACAAGUAAUUACUGAGCCACCAGGCUUUCCUAUUCCCAUUUAUCCACCCUAAAAUUAUAAUUCUAGCAAAAAUCUUGAUGACAGGUACAACUAGGCAACAACUCCAAUGUCAAGCCCAUCCAGUAGCCUGAGAAAAGAUCCAAAUAGGAUUAAUUUACAUGGAACUAGUAAAUCCUAAAACCAAAAUAUACCAUAUCAAAUUCUUAGUUAAGACCAAUCAACUCCAUUGUUAGGACCCAACAAGGACAAGCAGGUCCCGGGGUCGUCGUGGUGCAGUGGGUAGAGCGGGUGUGCUGGGAACCGUAAGAUUGGUGGUUCGAGUCCCGGCCGCCCCAUGUCUCAAGUUGAAGUAUCCCUGAGCAAGACACCUGACCCCUAAUUGCUCCCUGGGCAAAAUGUGAAAAGCGUCAGCUAAAUGACCUGAAAUGUAAUGUCAAAAUCAACAACUUCCACGUGAAUGCUGACAAUACUAUGUGAAGACCAACAAAUUUCAAUUUAAGACACAAUCAAGACCAACAGGUCCCAUUUUAAAUCCAAAACCUAAACUUGUUAACGCGUUGUUCAAAACCAGAGUUGCCCUGUUAUCUACUCUGUAAAACACACCUUUCUCCUAAUGUCAAUAUUAGUAGACAACAAAAAAAGUACACACAAUUGAGUAUCAUUUUUGUAUAUGUACUCAACAGUAUUUGUGGUCUUGUUGGUACUGCUAAGAACCAUGUACAUAUUUCCUGUAGCUGUACUAAUACUAAUGUAUUCCUAUCAGUAUACUUAUCCAUUAAGGCUUGUACGAACUUUAGCAACGCUUUAUGAAAUAUUGAUAACAGGUAAAGUGACAAUCAAAGAGGGAAACAAAUGAGUUAUGACGAGGUGUAUGAUUCAACUUAUUUAAUAUAUUGUAAACUUAUAUGUUUCCUUACAAAUACAAACUUCCUCUGGUUCCAUACAAAAUGAUUUCCUUAAGGGAAUGUGCUAAAACACAGGGGAGAGCUUUCCUUAGAUGUCCCUUGUGCAUUUUUUUUGUUUUUUCCAUU
ensembl:lncRNA